UACAGAGGGGGCAAGCGUUAUUCGGAAUUAUUGGGCGUAAAGCGCACGUAGGCGGCUUUGCAAGUCGGAUGUGAAAUCCCUCGGCUUAACCAAGGAAGUGCAUCCGAAACUGCAGAGCUUGAGUACUUAAGAGGAUCGCGGAAUUCCCGGUGUAGAGGUGAAAUUCGUAGAUAUCGGGAGGAACACCAGUGGCGAAGGCGGCGAUCUGGGAAGAUACUGACGCUGAGGUGCGAAAGCGUGGGGAGCAAACAGG
rnacentral:rRNA from 1 species